GUCGAGGGGUAUAGUUCUUCGGAAUUAGAGACCGGCGCACGGGUGCGUAACGCGUAUGCAAUCUACCUUUUACAGAGGGAUAGCCCAGAGAAAUUUGGAUUAAUACCUCAUAGUAUGCAGAGUUGGCAUCAACACUGCAUUAAAGUCACAACGGUAAAAGAUGAGCAUGCGUCCCAUUAGCUAGUUGGUAAGGUAACGGCUUACCAAGGCUACGAUGGGUAGGGGUCCUGAGAGGGAGAUCCCCCACACUGGUACUGAGACACGGACCAGACUCCUACGGGAGGCAGCAGUGAGGAAUAUUGGACAAUGGGCGCAAGCCUGAUCCAGCCAUGCCGCGUGCAGGAUGACGGUCCUAUGGAUUGUAAACUGCUUUUGCACAGGAAGAAACAACGCUACGUGUAGCGUCUUGACGGUACUGUGAGAAUAAGGAUCGGCUAACUCCGUGCCAGCAGCCGCGGUAAUACGGAGGAUCCAAGCGUUAUCCGGAAUCAUUGGGUUUAAAGGGUCCGUAGGCGGUUUGGUAAGUCAGUGGUGAAAGCCCAUCGCUCAACGGUGGAACGGCCAUUGAUACUGCCAGACUUGAAUUAUUAGGAAGUAACUAGAAUAUGUAGUGUAGCGGUGAAAUGCUUAGAGAUUACAUGGAAUACCAAUUGCGAAGGCAGGUUACUACUAAUGGAUUGACGCUGAUGGACGAAAGCGU
rnacentral:rRNA from 1 species